AGAGACUGCAUACAGCUGAAGAGAACCCCAGCCGUCUUUCUGAGAAGAGUUUUGUGCAAGGCAGAAUCCUUUGGAAGACCAAGGAAAACUUCGGGGAAUCUCUUCACUGCUCUUCACAGACUGCUGAUUCUGGUCACUGCCACUAGAAGGCCUAACCACACCCUUUACUGGAAACCCUGUAGUAUCAUUGGCACCAGCUGCUUUACAGCACGGCUUUCUGUUCAUCACAAGAUUGUCUGCCGAUACCAGUCUUCUCAGCUCUGUGUAGUAUAUUUCAUUUGCAAAUGCAAGUGCCUGGCCUUUAGACGUGUUAGCAAGAAGCAUAUCAUAUAACAGGAAUGAAAUGAAAGGAAGUAUCAUGGAAAUUUUUGCCAGCAGCAAAAGCAGGAUGCACAGGGGGCUUCAGACAUGCACAUCUUCCCUCCAGUUUCAAAAGACAAAUUUAAGUCCAAAGCA